AUAGCUCAAAUGGUAGAGCACUUGCCUAGAAAGCAUAAGGCACUGAGUACAAACCUCAGU
rnacentral:tRNA from 1 species